AUCCCUUCGCAGUGGCAGAGUCAGGGCCUAUGAGGUCAAUCCGAGGCGUGAUUAUUGCUAGUUGAAAACUUAAUUCACCCCGCCUUGACGACCUGAAAUAUAGUCGGUAAUGGUACUUUUGAUGGUCUCUAUGGAGA